rnacentral:rRNA from 1 species
UACGUAGGUGGCAAGCGUUGUUCGGAAUUAUUGGGCGUAAAGGGCGCGUAGGCGGGCAGGCAAGUCGAAGGUGAAAUCCCACGGCUCAACCGUGGAAGUGCCCCCGAUACUGCCUGUCUCGAGGGAGAUAGGGGCGUGCGGAACUUCCGGUGGAGCGGUGAAAUGCGUAGAUAUCGGAAGGAACACCGGUGGCGAAAGCGGCGCGCUGGAUCUCUUCUGACGCUGAUGCGCGAAAGCCAGGGGAGCAAACGGG